rnacentral:rRNA from 1 species
UACGGAAGGGGCUAGCGUUGUUCGGAAUUACUGGGCGUAAAGCGCGCGUAGGCGGUUGGACAAGUGAGGAGUGAAAGCCCUGGGCUCAACCUUGGAAUUGCGCUGCAGACUGUCUGACUGGAGUUCCGGAGAGGGUGGUGGAAUUCCCAGUGUAGAGGUGAAAUUCGUAGAUAUUGGGAGGAAUACCGGUGGCGAAGGGGGCCGCCUGGACCGACACUGACGCUAUAGCGCGAAAGCGUGGGGAGCAAACAGG